rnacentral:rRNA from 1 species
AAUGAACGCUGGCGGCGUGCUUAACACAUGCAAGUCGAACGAGAAAGUUCUUCGGAACUAGUAAAGUGGCAAACGGGUGAGUAACGCGUGAGAAUUUACCUUUUAGUGAAGGAUACUCCCGAGAAAUUGGGGUUAAUACUGCAUAAGUCUCUACGGAGAGAAAGGCGGCCUCUUUGCUGUCGCUAAAAGAUAAGCUUGCGUCAUAUUAGCUAGUUGGUGUGGUAAAAGCGCACCAAGGCAAUGAUGGGUAACCGGUCUGAGAGGGCGUACGGUCACACUGGAACUGAGACACGGUCCAGACUCCUACGGGAGGCAGCAGUGGGGAAUAUUGGACAAUGGGCGAAAGCCUGAUGCAGCGAUGCCGCGGGCGGGAAGAAGGCCUUCGGGUUGUAAACCGCUUUUGCCAGGGAAGAAACGCUUCGAGCUAAUACCUUGGAGUAAUGACGGUACCUGAAGAAUAAGCACCGGCUAACUACGUGCCAGCCGCCGCGGUAA